CAAUGCAACGUCAGGCAUAAACUGCACAAACUACCAAGUUGUUGUGAGCAGGAUGGCCAAAGUUUUCACUGCCAUACCGAUGGCGAGACUUCAAGAAAUCACAGACGUUUUGCUGGGCUACCUCAGAAAAUCUGCCAGUGUCAUUAAUACAGCAGUUUGCAGGCAGGAAAUGUUGAAUGAUGUCGAUUGGGUUGAAAUAAAUUUGGGUCCAUUUUCUCAAU